UCGAGAGGCUUCCACAAUGGGGGAAACCCUGAUGGAGCGACGCCGCGUGGGUGAUGAAGGUCUUCGGAUCGUAAAGCCCUUUCAGCAGGGAAGAGAGUGUUGGGUGAUAAUACCACCUGGUGCACGACGGUACCUGCAGAAGAAGCUCCGGCUAACUCCGUGCCAGCAGCCGCGGUAAGACGGGGGGAGCAAGCGUUGUUCGGAUGUACUGGGCGUAAAGGGCGUCUAGGCGGGUUCGUAAGUCAUGUGUGAAACCCCCCGGCUCAACCGGGGAUCUGCACGUGAUACUGCUGAUCUUGAGUAUGGAAGAGGAAAGCGGAAUUCCGGGUGUAGCGGUGAAAUGCGUAGAUAUCUGGAAGAACACCGGUGGCGAAGGCGGCUUUCUGGUCCAUUACUGACGCUGAAGCGCGAAAGUGUGGGGAGCAAACA
rnacentral:rRNA from 1 species